rnacentral:rRNA from 1 species
GACGAACGCUGGCGGCGUGCUUAACACAUGCAAGUCGAACGAAGUGGCGAACGGGUGAGUAACGCGUAAUCAACCUGCCCUUCAUAGGGGGACAACAGUUGGAAACGACUGCUAAUACCGCAUACUGAAGGAGGGGCUUGCGUCUGAUUAGCUAGUGGGAGGGGUAACGGCUCACCAAGGCGAUGAUCAGUAGCCGGUCGGAGAGGGUGAUCGGCCACACUGGGACUGAGACACGGCCCAGACGCCUACGGGAGGCAGCAGUGGGGAAUCUUCCGCAAUGGACGAAAGUCUGACGGAGCAACGCCGCGUGAGUGAUGACGGCCUUCGGGUUGUAAAGCACUUUUGGCAGGAAAGCGGUACCUGCAGAAUAAGCACCGGCUAACUACGUGCCAGCCGCCGCGGUAAUAC